UAGGGAAUAUUGGACAAUGGGGGCAACCCUGAUCCAGCCAUGCCGCGUGAGUGAAGAAGGCCCUCGGGUUGUAAAGCUCUUUUGUCCGGAAAGAAAAGCAUUCGGUGAAUACCCGGAUGUUCUGACGGUACCGGAAGAAUGAGCACCGGCUAACUUCGUGCCAGCAGCCGCGGUAAUACGAAGGGUGCAAGCGUUACUCGGAAUUACUGGGCGUAAAGCGUGCGUAGGUGGUUGUUUAAGUCUGAUGUGAAAGCCCUGGGCUCAACCUGGGAAUGGCAUUGGAAACUGGGCAGCUAGAGUGCGGUAGAGGGUAGUGGAAUUCCCGGUGUAGCAGUGAAAUGCGUAGAGAUCGGGAGGAACAUCUGUGGCGAAGGCGACUGCCUGGACCAGCACUGACACUGAGGCACGAAAGCGUGGGGAGCAAACA
rnacentral:rRNA from 1 species